UCUUGCAUGUGAAUUUUGGUGCUCGUGCUACGCACGCAUAAGGACUGCGCGAACUUGUCGUCAGAAGCUAACAGAAAUCGCAUCUGAAAUCUACGCGUAAGAAUCACGUACGUUUCGUGUUGCGACCGACAAAAAUCAAUGACGAAAUUACGUUCUUGCUGAAUGCCCGACUAGAACAGAGAAAUUCUGAAACGUAAAAAUAACACCCCCGAAUUUUCUUACACGUGGAAAAUUUGCAUGUUAUAAUUGGGCGUCGUGAUUAAUCGUGGAGUCCGAAACGAGAAAAGACCCGACGAAAAGUUCGGUUGUGCGAAGAAAUCGCCAAAAAUUAAAGACGUACGUGACUUGAUGAAAAUUGAGACCAAUGAAUCCCUCGCUAGUGAGUUUUCAGAAAUACGUUAGCGUGUUAGUGACAGAGUAGAAUCGAUUUUUAAGUGUUUCUGACUCUCUUCGUCUUUUACUUGUCAACGUUCGAAUCGAAAUUAAAAAUACAUAUAUUUAAUGGAAGUGUGUGUAUAUGCAAAAAAGAUAACAAUUAACGUGUGACACAGAGAAAUACAGAUAGUUCAACUGUUGAUAGUUUAUAUACAACUAAUGUGAUUAUAAAAUUUAUAUUAAAUGUAUAAAUAAAAACUAAAAAUCUCAAUCGAAAGUUUCUCAAUUUUCAACUUUCAAGAGCUGCUGAUAGCAUUUUGAAUUGUUUACAUCCGUAAUUGAAAAUAACUUUUGCGUAUAGGAUAAUGUGCAAACAUAGAUAAUCGCAAACUGCUUUAUUAUGCAAAGCUUUUGAAUUUUGAUUGAAAGUAAAAUCUGAUACAAUCUAUUGCAAUGUAAAUAUUUGUAAUUGCAAUUAACACGUUAAGCAUUAAUCAAAGUGCUAAAUGUGUUCGGUAAAGAUACAAUUACUUUGACGGAAGUUAGUGUGCAUGAAGGGUUAAUGGUCUCGUGACCCACCAAUUAGAACAACGGGAGAAGUUAAGCCGAGCAUGAACAAGAAGAGGUUCGACGUUACGACUGUCCGGAAAAUUUUCAUACGGCUUACAUCACGAGAAUUUUGCUUCCUGUGAAUUAACUCCCAGGAGACUACAUAUAUCGAGAAGAAACAGAAGCGUCUAUCGAGGUCUGAAGAGGCCACCGGCUCAAAGGUGAAUUUUCAUUCAGUUGGAGAACAAAGAAAAAUGUCGGCUGAGGUGAGAGCCGGACGACCCACUAUGCCAACGAUUCCUCACUCCAAAAGGCCCACAAUCUUAGUAUAUCCAACAGUAACGCCAGAGAGCAUAAUCAUACCCAUUGUAUCCUGCAUUCUGGGGUUCCCAUUGCUGGCGUUAAUGGUAAUUUGCUGCUUACGAAGGAGAGCGAAACUCGCUAGGGAGCGAGCCCGACGAAGAAACUGCGAUUUGGAUCAUGGCGCGCUGAGCCUUGUCCGUUUCAGCCCGGUUCAUCGUCUGGCUGGAAUAGAUCGUCCGGUACGUGCCGUGUCAUUGAAGAGCGACCGAGGAUCUCGAACUUUUCCAUCCCUAGAGCUGGACACCGUCGUCGAGGAACGUUCAGAUCCCGAACAGAGCACCGCUCUCGAAUUGAGUAGUCCGGAUUAGCAAUCGGCCGUGGCACCGUCAAGGUCUCCACGACCAUCAAAGUCCUUGGCGGUGCCAUUGCCUGUGGAUCACAGUCCUCUGUGGACGGCUUUGACGCACGCUAAUGCAGUCUCCGCAGCGUUAGGAGACACCUAGCAGGAGGUAGAAGACGGCGGCUAUAUCGAAGCUCUCGUCCUAGAUCUGCCAAUCAUUUACU